GCCCCUGUCGUCUAGAGGCCCAGGACACCGCCCUUUCAAGGCAGCAACACGGGUUCGAAUCCCGUCGGGGGCG
rnacentral:tRNA from 1 species